GGGCAACAGUGCCAAAAAUGUUGUAUAAUUUUGCUGAGAGAUACAAAACCCACCAAGUCAUUCAGUGUUCCCUUAGUGCUAAUGUGUAAGAGAUGUUGGUGUACUAUAACUGAACUAAUGUUGUUAAGUCCUUAAAGUCAUAUUCUUUUAUUGUCACGACUGUAUUUGAAGCAAUUUUUUUUGUAUGAUACCUGAUUUAUAUGGAUUAUGGCUGAAGUAAACUAAAGUCUAAAAUAGUCAGUCAUUUGUUUAAUAGUAAUUUAACAUUAUAUAAUUCACAUAUAAAACUAUGAAUUGUAAUUUUAAAUGGUUUAAAAGCAUGUAGAAUAGCAUAUGUAGGCAAGUAUGUUUCUCCUUUUUUUUUUAUCAAGAAGCAAAGACAAAAAGGAAAAAAAAAGAAACAGGGCAGGGUUCGGUGGUUGAAUCAUCCGUCCCCACCAAUGCCAACACCGAAUCUACGCCCUUGGUUUCCAGUCUCCAUUAAUUCUCUGUUCUAACCUGCCUGUUAGUAUUUACCAGUUAGUCUCCCAGUUUUGUUUUGUUCUGCAAAACCAGCAGUAAACCUGUUGUCUGCAAAUCUCACUGCUGCACACAGCAUGUCCUGACACUGAACCCCGUUUGAAAGCUGGGAGUCUACAUUAUGUCCAUGUCCAUCAUAUAAGUGUAAUUAGGAUAUGUUUCAGCAAACGGGGGAAAAGUGUCCAAACAUAUAUAGACCUAGUUUUCUUUUCUUUUUUUUAUUUUUAUUUUUAGAGCUUACAAUUUGGAAUCAUUUGCUAGAAGUACAUAGUUUCUUUUUUUUUUAAUAAAUUACAAUCUGAUUGUAAGUGAUAUCUGUUUUUGGUUUUACACUGUUUUCUGUCUGGCAAAAGGUAUAGCUAAGGAAAGUAGUACUGCCAACUGGACUUUGUACCCUCUGCAGGUUUUCCUUCACUACUCCAUGAAUCUUCUUUGUGGUCUUCCUCUUUUCCCUCUGCCUGGCCGUUCCAUAUUCAACAUUCUUUACCUGAGAUAUCCACUAUCCCUCCUCUGCACAUGUUCAAACCUUCUCCACUUUGCCUCUCUAACUUUGUUUCCAAACUGCUCAACCUGUGCUGUCUCUCUGGUGUACUCAUUUCUUAUCCUGUCCCCCAUGGUCGCUCCCAAUGGAAAUCUGAAACUCCACCAGCUCCAGGCCUCCUGUCAUUUUGUUAGUGAAACCAUCUCCAAACCACUCAUUAUAUAGCAAGUCUCAUUACCAUUUUGUAAACAUUUCCUCUCACUCUUGCUGCUGUCCUUCUAUCGCAGAUCAAAGUGAGGAAAAACAUGCAAAGUUAUAUAACAAAACAACAAUAUUUCACUAUGACUGCAACUGAUUUUACUCACAAGUUCUAUUCCAAUCCAAAGUUAGGAUCUGGGCAAGUACACUCAAAAUGCCUCAAGGUGUUUUACUUAUUUUUUAUUAACAAAGCUUUGGUAUGUAUGUAUGUGUAACAAAACAUAAAAAACAUGUAACAUUAGUAAGAAGAGAAGAAAUGGCAGUAAAAACA
ensembl:lncRNA